AAACUUCGCCAGACUAUUAUGCAAAUGUAUCGAAUGUAACAUGAAUAUUCACUGACUCGGGGACGUGAUACUUUUCAAGUGCCUACUCGAGAAACAGUCAUGCACUGCGUCAAAUCAUCGUGAUAUUCACAAAGACGAAAGUGGUUCAAGUGAGCAGACGUAACUUCGUUGUUUGCGUUAUAAGCAUACUGACUGGAAAGUUCUAUUUUGUGCUAAGAUGACACAAUUAUCGUUGGAAAAAUUCUCGACAGACACGCACGUUCGAAGAUACAGUUGCAAAGCCUGCUCUAAAGUAUGUGGUGCCGUUCUGAGCCACRCCCCAGACACACCCUCCKYCACCAAUCGAAAUACUGAUAAACGGGACGUCUGCGAUGAUAUGCUCCCAAGAUUGGCCCUGGAUAGACACACAGSACAAGGUUGUACCUUGGAAAAUCGACAGCAUAUUGCCAUCCUUCUUUGUCGGUGACCUCWGGGCGAGUAUCAACCUGCCAUUGCCCCACCCACUGCCACUGGCUUGAAGUCUUACCUCUCCGAGAAGCCUUCUAUUGGAUUCCAUCGCUGAUUUUCAUAAAUAUAAUGAACAUUGUAGUCUUCUUGCGUGUGAAGACCAAACGAGCUACUUGAAAACCCACUCAAAACACCCCCACCAUAACC